GACGAACGCUGGCGGCGUGCAUAACACAUGCAAGUCGAGCGGUAAGGCUCCUUCGGGAGUACACGAGCGGCGAACGGGUGAGUAACACGUGAGCAAUCUGCCCUUCUCUUCGGAAUAACCAUUGGAAACGAUGGCUAAUGCCGAAUACGACCUCCCUUCGCAUGUUGGGAGGUGGAAAGCUCCGGCGGAGAAGGAUGAGCUCGCGGCCUAUCAGCUUGUUGGCGGGGUAACGGCCCACCAAGGCAACGACGGGUAGCCGGCCUGAGAGGGUGACCGGCCACACUGGGACUGAGACACGGCCCAGACUCCUACGGGAGGCAGCAGUGGGGAAUAUUGGACAAUGGGCGAAAGCCUGAUCCAGCAACGCCGCGUGAGGGAUGACGGCCUUCGGGUUGUAAACCUCUUUCAGCAGGGACGAAGCGAAAGUGACGGUACCUGCAGAAGAAGGACCGGCCAACUACGUGCCAGCCGCCGCAGUAACAC
rnacentral:rRNA from 1 species